GAUCAACGCUGGCGGCGUGCCUAACACAUGCAAGUCGUGCGCGAAAGGGGCUUCGGCCCUGAGUAGAGCGGCAAACGGGUGAGUAACACGUGGGUGACCUGCCUUCGAGUGGGGGAUAACGUCCCGAAAGGGACGCUAAUACCGCAUGACAUCCUGCCUUUGGACAGGCGGAGAUCAAAGCCGGGGAUCGCAAGACCUGGCGCUUGAAGAGGGGCCCGCGCCUGAUUAGCUAGUUGGUGAGGUAACGGCUCACCAAGGCAACGAUCAGUAGCCGGCCUGAGAGGGCGGACGGCCACACUGGGACUGAGACACGGCCCAGACUCCUACGGGAGGCAGCAGUGGGGAAUUGUUCGCAAUGGGCGCAAGCCUGACGACGCAACGCCGCGUGGAGGACGAAGAUCUUGGGGUCGUAAACUCCUGUCGAGCGGGAAGAAUCCCUUCCUGGUGAACAUCCAGGGAGGUUGACGGUACCGCUAAAGGAAGCCCCGGCUAACUCCGUGCCAGCAGCC
rnacentral:rRNA from 1 species